rnacentral:rRNA from 1 species
GCUCAGGAUGAACGCUGGCGGCGUGCCUAAUACAUGCAAGUCGAACGCACAGCGAAAGGUGCUUGCACCUUUCAAGUGAGUGGCGAACGGGUGAGUAACACGUGGACAACCUGCCUCAAGGCUGGGGAUAACAUUUGGAAACAGAUGCUAAUACCGAAUAAAACUUAGUGUCGCAUGACAAAAAGUUAAAAGGCGCUUCGGCGUCACCUAGAGAUGGAUCCGCGGUGCAUUAGUUAGUUGGUGGGGUAAAGGCCUACCAAGACAAUGAUGCAUAGCCGAGUUGAGAGACUGAUCGGCCACAUUGGGACUGAGACACGGCCCAAACUCCUACGGGAGGCUGCAGUAGGGAAUCUUCCACAAUGGGCGAAAGCCUGAUGGAGCAACGCCGCGUGUGUGAUGAAGGCUUUCGGGUCGUAAAGCACUGUUGUAUGGGAAGAACAGCUAGAAUAGGAAAUGAUUUUAGUUUGACGGUACCAUACCAGAAAGGGACGGCUAAAUACGUGCCAGCAGCCGCGGUAAUACGUAUGUCCCGAGCGUUAUCCGGAUUUAUUGGGCGUAAAGCGAGCGCAGACGGUUUAUUAAGUCUGAUGUGAAAGCCCGGAGCUCAACUCCGGAAUGGCAUUGGAAACUGGUUAACUUGAGUGCAGUAGAGGUAAGUGGAACUCCAUGUGUAGCGGUGGAAUGCGUAGAUAUAUGGAAGAACACCAGUGGCGAAGGCGGCUUACUGGACUGCAAC